rnacentral:lncRNA from 1 species
GUUUGUCAAGUUUUAAUUCUUUACUUUCCUUGCUUUUAAUUUGAAUGAUGGGACUUGGUGCAGAGGUUUAAUUCAUCUAAUGCUUUUCUUUUGUUUUUUUUUUUUUAUGAAAUCAAAAGUAGAUUAAGUGAGAAUUUAUUGGUGUUGGACGAUGAUAGUACUUCAUGCUAGCCUUUUCAUUUUGCUUUUAAGAAUAAAAAAAAAUUGAUGAAAGUUUGAUUCUUUUCCUUAACCUUUGGAGUUGCCGAUUAUUGCAUUUGGAGGACACAUCACUUUUCUUUUGUGAAAUCUUGAGAUGAUGGGACAUUGUGAUGAUGGGACAUUGUGGUAGCUGUUAUGCAAUUCCUUUUUUUUAUUUCCUUGAGAAUUAAUAAUGGAUUAGAUAGGAAUAGGUGAUAGUCACAUUGCACUUAACCUUUUUUCUUUAAUUUUGUUUUUGCUUGCAUUUAUUUUCUUUGGAGAAGAAGUGGUAGCAUGUUCUGGAUGGGUGUAGGGGUGAUUAUUUUCUCCCAGUAAAAAAUCGUGAAUGUGGAAGCAUGGUGCGCUGCUGUUGCCACGUCAAGCAUGGAAGGAAGAUUUAAUUUUAUUUUGAAGGAAAGCUACAGCAACGUGGUCCACAUUGGAAAUUAGCAACAUGGUCAAUUGAUUUUAGAGAAAUUGAAAGUGUGCCAUGGCUGAUUCCAAAUUUAAUAUUUGGGGAUUUACGAUUUAAGAAAAUGAAUAGGUUUUGGUGCAAGAAGGGUCAGGC